AAGAAGCGAAAGUGACGGUACCUGCAGAAGAAGCGCCGGCUAACUACGUGCCAGCAGCCGCGGUAAUACGUAGGGCGCGAGCGUUGUCCGGAAUUAUUGGGCGUAAAGAGCUCGUAGGCGGCUUGUCACGUCGGUUGUGAAAGCCCGGGGCUUAACCCCGGGUCUGCAGUCGAUACGGGCAGGCUAGAGUUCGGUAGGGGAGAUCGGAAUUCCUGGUGUAGCGGUGAAAUGCGCAGAUAUCAGGAGGAACACCGG
rnacentral:rRNA from 1 species